AAUCUUGUCAUACCAUCUGUUUCACAAAUUAGAGAAGAAGCUCAAUCCCUUAAUGGAAUGAAAUAACUGUACUUUGCUCUGGGAGUUUUCUUCAUGGGUUCUGUUUUUUGUUCACUUGUUGAUAGUUCUGUCCUUUAUGGCCCUGUAAUUUAAAUACCAUUCUGUUUUCUGCCAUUAAGCCUCCCUGAAAGCUUAAUUUUGCCUAAGACUGCUGAUGCUCUAUGCAAUCCAAUUUAUUUUGCACUUCAAAGCAGAAUAGUCUUCAUAGUUAUUUCUAAAAUCUCAAGUAGCAAUGAAAACAUCAUGUUUUAUGAGGCAAUAACUAGAUGGUUCUUCUGCUGUUUUUUAAGGCUGUAUCUGCAUAGAUUUCUCUAUCAUCACCUAAAACAGUAAAAGGCAAUAACUUUAUAAUUCCUCUUUAGAAAUGGUUGUGAUUUUUGUUUGAACUGAACCUUACUUGUGUUCUUUUGUGAAUCCUAUUGCUUCUGCCUUAGAUCUGGAGGAUUUCAGAAGGGACAGUGAGAAUGUGUUCCUCUACCUCUAUGGCAAACAAAGGAAAACCAACCUGGAAACGGUGCAAGAGAAAGGUACAGCUACAGGACUGAGGAAGCAUUGCUUCUCUUCUGUGCACAUAUGAGCUUGUUACACUCCAUUCUCCUGCUCCUCUCAGCAAACUGGCACUGAAGCAAAGGAAAGAGAAUACUUCAAGUGAGGAUCCACAGAAUAUGCCAAGGUACAUCAGCAGCUCAGUAGAACGGAGCGGGAACUUGAUUAAUACAUAAAGUCACUCAUUUUGGAGCAUAAAAUACUGAAGAUGUGACCACCUGUGCAUAUGGCUAGCUCUCCUUACAGAUAGCAUUUCAGGAAAUCAGAGUUUCACAUGGAAUGUUUGAGGUAUGCCAUUGCCAUCCACUCCUUUGGUGAAAGCUCUGUACUUCAUCCUCCUCCUGCCUUCAGUUGGACAAGUUAAAUUUUAAUCACACACACCUCACUUGAAUAUAGUACUAUAACCCCAUUAAUGUUAUAGAAACACUGACUAUUCUACAAAUAAAAUCUAUCAAGAUUGCUUGAUUCUGCCAGAAAAAUCAUAAUUAUAAACAUUCCUGAUGACAGAAAGGAUGGAAAAUAUGUAAUCCAAUGAAAUAAGAAUGUUUCCUCUGAAUAAUUUUGUUGUAAAGCACCUUUAACACAACUAAUGACUUAAAAAUAAAACCUCUGAAUAAUAAAUUAUUAUUUGUUACCAAAUACAUAUGUGUAGCUAUAGAUAUGAAAUAUAUGUAGAUAUAUGUCAUAUAUGUCAUAUGAGAUAUGUAGAUAUAUAAUACAUAUGAGAACCUUUCUUACUCCCUUGAGGAUUCUGUAAUACUGGCAUGAUGUGGAAUUAACUCUCCAAGUAUAUAUGGCCAUGGUUUUGAAAGGUAUGUGGGGAUUUGGGCUGCAAUUUUAAGAUUUUUGCUUUAAGACAUCUGUGAGACUUUUCUGUCAGUGGCUGCUCAGAUUUCCUGGGAAUUAAAAAAAAAAAAUGUAGUCAUUCUAAUCUAUUUUUUCUGUCCCUCUGACAGAUGUCAUCCCAGUGAGCAGAGCUGUCACUGAGAACUCUCACUUGAGAUGAAACUGAGGGAAAAAACUGAUAUCAACCAGGAACUGCUGGAUGGUCUGGGGUGUGGAAUUGGCAUGAGCUCUCUGCUUUGCUUUUUAUGGCUGGUUAAUAUCGUCACUUUACAUCCACCAUAGCUCCUGACAAAAUUAACAGUGACAGAGUGAAAGUGCUAACACAAGCCCUGGGGAUGUUAUCUCUGCAGUUUAACAAAGCUGUAAUGGGUUGACCUUGGCUGGAUGCCAGGUGCUCACCAAGCUGCUCUAUCACUCUCCAAUAGGGCAGGGGAGAGAAAAACAAGAUGGAAAACAACUACUAGGUUGAGAUAAGGCAGUUUAGGGUCUGUGAGUGCAUAAGCAAAGGGAAACAAAAAUUGACCUCUACUUCCCAUUGGUGAUCAAUGCUCAGCCACUUCCCAGGAAGCAGGGCUUCAACACGUGGAGUAGUUGUCUGGAAGGCAGACAUUGUUAAAUAGCAAAUGCCCCCCAUUCCUCCUCCCUGCCUUAGCUUUUAUAUCUGAGGUGAUUUCAUAUGGUAUGGAAUAUCCCUUGAUAAUUUGCAUCAGCUGGCCUGCUUGUAUUCCCUCCGAGGAUCUUGCCCACUCCCAGCCCCUUGACAGGGGAGCUGGAAAGGAAUGUUAGAGAGACAGCACAGCUGCUGGGCCAACACUGCUCAGCAGUAGCCCAAACACUCAUGUGCUACCAACACCCCUCCAGCUACCAAUGCAAAGCACAGCACUGAGAGGGCUGCUAAGGAAAAAUGAACUCUACCUCAGGCAGACCAAAUACAGUCUCCAUCCCUUAUUUCAUAUCAUUUGAGUCAUGCUGAAAUCCCACAUAAUUUAUAUGUCUUCCAAGUGUUCCAUUCUAUUUAUUUGUCAUUACUGGAAUCCAUUCUUACCCACACACACAACAUAAAAUACAUCCCUAAACCAUCUCCAUACCUGACACGGAUUUUCAUUACCCUUUAUCCUGCAUCCUUUCACACAUAAAUAUUAUUGUGCCAUUUCAUGGGCUUCCUUCACCCCUCCAGAUCCGUGAUUUGGAGUACAGUGGGCUUCUGAUCCUUGAUAACUCCAGCUUCUUGGAGUGACCUCGGGUUUCCACUGAGGGGCUCUGUGUCUUAGCUUACAAUGUAAAAUGUAACCAACAGUAUGUAUUCUAUCACCAUCUGUUAAAACCAGUGUUCUUUAUCUCUUCCAUGACCCAUCCCUCAUAACUCCCUCUGAGGGAGAUACCUGCUGUUAAUGGGCCACCAAAUCUCACUGUAUGACUUGUAAAUUUCUUCAUCCCAUUGUGAGAUGCUCCGCCCGGGGGAGGAGCCAAGCAUUCCUACCUGGAUAUAUCCUGAGGUUUGGAACACCAAAAGCAGCCUUAUCCACAGGAUUCCCAGAAGAAGACCAGGCCUAUCUGCACCACCACUGGACCUUCAGAGGCAGACCACACCCUUCUACAGGAUCUCUGCUUCAACAGAACCACAUCUGUCAUCCCAAGACGAUUGUAGACACCGUUAAACUGGACUGCUACCAACCCUGACCAACAGGGUUCUCAGGUGUUCUGAAGCUCCACCCUUUUCCUGUGCAGUCUGGAUGAGUCCGUGGCAGAUGGUUGGGCUGUGUUUCCAUCCAUGGGACACUCAAUUCCAGGUAUACUGGAUACUCCUACAAGCAAAAGCAAACUGUGGCCUGCACUCUGUUGCCUGAGUGACUGAGAAAAAUGCAUCAGUGAUAUCAAUUUUGGCACCAUUUGCCUGCCUUUGACUCCUGUUAAUAUUGGAAUUCCAACACAUGCAGCACAGCAGCACUCGGAGGCAGCGUGACUUCAUUCAGGCCAUGACAGUCUCUAUCAGCCUCUAUUCCCCAGUAGACUUUUGCACUGGCUACAUGGGGCUGAUAGAAACAUACCAUCAGCUACAUUUGGAUGGGAAUAAAAUGUUGUAGCUGCCACCCAUUUAUAGAAUCAACCAUAAAAAUGAAAGGUUGACAAAAUACAACAAAAAACACAUAUUAACAAAA